rnacentral:tRNA from 1 species
AGGAAAAAAGUUUAUGAGGAUAAACAUCGGGCUUCAAACCUGAAGAUAGUCAGUUCGAAUCUGACUUUUCCUG